CCUACGGGAGGCAGCAGUGGGGAAUAUUGCACAAUGGGGGAAACCCUGAUGCAGCGACGCCGCGUGAGUGAAGAAGUAAUUCGUUAUGUAAAGCUCUAUCAGCAGGGAAGAAAAUGACGGUACCUGAGUAAGAAGCCACGGCUAACUACGUGCCAGCAGCCGCGGUAAGACGUAGGGGGCAAGCGUUAUCCGGAUUUACUGGGUGUAAAGGGAGCGUAGACGGCAGUGCAAGUCUGGAGGGAAAGGCGGGGGCUCAACCCCCGGACUGCUCUGGAAACUGUACGGCUGGAGUGCAGGAGAGGUAAGUGGAAUUCCUAGUGUAGCGGUGAAAUGCGUAGAUAUUAGGAGGAACACCAGUGGCGAAGGCGGCUUACUGGACUGUAACUGACGUUGAGGCUCGAAAGCGUGGGGAGCAAACAGGAUUAGAUACCCCAGUAGUC
rnacentral:rRNA from 1 species